rnacentral:rRNA from 1 species
UACGAAGGGUGCAAGCGUUAAUCGGAUUUACUGGGCGUACAGGGAGCGUAGGCGGUUGGGUAAGCCCUCCGUGAAAUCUCCGGGCCUAACCCGGAAAGUGCGGAGGGGACUGCUCGGCUAGAGGAUGGGAGAGGAGCGCGGAAUUCCCGGUGUAGCGGUGAAAUGCGUAGAGAUCGGGAGGAAGGCCGGUGGCGAAGGCGGCGCUCUGGAACAUUUCUGACGCUGAGGCUCGAAAGCGUGGGGAGCAAACAGG